UUAUUUUAGCGGCGGACGGGUGAGUAACGUGUGGGUAACCUGCCUUUUACUGUGGAAUAAUCGUUGGAAACGACGACUAAUACCGCAUACGAUUUUCUGAAGGCAUCUUCGGAAAAAGAAAGGAAAUAUUCGGUAAAAGAUGGGCCCGCAUCUGAUUAGCUAGUUGGUGAGAUAAUAGCCCACCAAGGCAACGAUCAGUAGCCGACCUGAGAGGGUGACCGGCCACAUUGGGACUGAGACACGGCCCAAACUCCUACGGAAGGCAGCAG
rnacentral:rRNA from 1 species